ensembl:lncRNA
CUUCUACAGAUGUUCACGGACUACUGAUCCUGAGCCAGGCAUUGGGCAGAGAAAAAAACCCAAUUCCUGCCCUCUUGGUGACUAUAUAGUGAUAAGGAAGAUAAGAAGCAAAUAAGCAGACUCAGAAAUAAGGUCUAGCAGCCUCUGCCAGGGCUUCACCCAUGUCCCUAACAUUUCCGUGGGCUCCAGCCAAAUGCUACUACUGGCACAUACAUCACUGGGUUGGAAGCCUGGUUCCAGAACUGCAGAAUGCUACAUGGCCUAUGAAUGAAGCAGGUGCAAGUGUCAGAGAAUUAACAUCUGCCAGGAGCAGCUCUCAGCCAAUGACUGGGGAAGUGGGUGUAUCAAUCCCCCAGCUCCUUCACCCAGUAGAUGGGGCAACUCUAAGGAGGGCAAGCCACCCCGGGUUUCAGAGCUUUCCCUGUGGAAAUAAGCUCCAUUGGUACUCAGCUUAACA